rnacentral:rRNA from 1 species
GAUGAACGCUAGCGGCAGGCUUAACACAUGCAAGUCGAGGGGCAGCAUGACGGAACUUCGGGUUUUGUUGAUGGCGUACCCGGCGGCAAGGGUGCGUAACGCGUGAGCAACUUGCCCGUUUCUGGGGAAUAACCCGGUGGAAACGCCGACUAAUACCCCCAUAGUAUCAUUAUUAGGCAUCUUUUUAAUGGAUUAAAGAAUUUCGGAAACGGAUAGGCUCGCGUGACAUUAGCUAGAUGGCGGGGUAAGGCCCACCAUGGCUACGAUGUCUAGGGGUUCUGAGAGGAAGGUCCCCCACACUGGAACUGAGACACGGUCCAGACUCCUACGGGAGGCAGCAGUGGGGAAUAUUGGGCAAUGGGGGAAACCCUGACCCAGCAACGCCGCGUGAAGGAAGAAGGCCUUCGGGUUGUAAACUUCUUUUAGCAGGGACGAAGAACGUGACGGUACCUGCAGAAAAAGCAACGGCUAACUACGUG